rnacentral:rRNA from 1 species
GACGAACGCUGGCGGCGUGCCUAAUACAUGCAAGUAGAACGCUGAAGGAGGAGCUUGCUUCUCUGGAUGAGUUGCGAACGGGUGAGUAACGCGUAGGUAACCUGCCUGGUAGCGGGGGAUAACUAUUGGAAACGAUAGCUAAUACCGCAUAAUAGUAGAUGUUGCAUGACAUUUGCUUAAAAGGUGCAAUUGCAUCACUACCAGAUGGACCUGCGUUGUAUUAGCUAGUUGGUGGGGUAACGGCUCACCAAGGCGACGAUACAUAGCCGACCUGAGAGGGUGGUCGGCCACACUGGGACUGGGACACGGCCCAGACUCCUGCGGGAGGCAGCAGUAGGGAAUCUUCGGCAAUGGACGGAAGUCUGACCGAGCAACGCCGCGUGAGUGAAGAAGGUUUUCGGAUCGUAAAGCUCUGUUGUAAGAGGAGAACGGGUGUGAGAGUGGAAAGUUCACACUGUGACGGUAUCUUACCAGAAAGGGACGGCUAACUACGUG